GAUGAACGCUGGCGGCGUGCCUAAUACAUGCAAGUCGAGCGAACAGACGAGGAGCUUGCUCCUCUGACGUUAGCGGCGGACGGGUGAGUAACACGUGGAUAACCUACCUAUAAGACUGGGAUAACUUCGGGAAACCGGAGCUAAUACCGGAUAAUAUAUUGAACCGCAUGGUUCAAUAGUGAAAGACAGUUUUGCUGUCACUUAUAAAUGGAUCCGCGCCGCAUUAGCUAGUUGGUAAGGUAACGGCUUACCAAGGCAACGAUGCGUAGCCGACCUGAGAGGGUGAUCGGCCACACUGGAACUGAGACACGGUCCAGACUCCUACGGGAGGCAGCAGUAGGGAAUCUUCCGCAAUGGGCGAAAGCUUGACGGAGCAACGCCGCGUGAGUGAUGAAGGUCUUCGGAUCGUAAAACUCUGUUAUUAGGGAAGAACAAAUGUGUAAGUAACUAUGCACGUCUUGACGGUACCUAAUCAGAAAGCCACGGCUAACUACGUG
rnacentral:rRNA from 1 species